GGUUAAGCGACUAAGCGUACACGGUGGAUGCCCUGGCAGUCAGAGGCGAUGAAGGACGUGCUAAUCUGCGAAAAGCGCCGGCGAGGUGAUAUGAACCYUUGACCCGGCGAUGUCCGAAUGGGGAAACCCAGUGUGUUCCGACACACUAUCGUUAACUGAAUACAUAGGUUAACGAGGCGAACCGGGGGAACUGAAACAUCUAAGUACCCCGAGGAAAAGAAAUCAACCGAGAUUCCCCCAGUAGCGGCGAGCGAACGGGGAGCAGCCCGGAGUCUGAAUCAGCUUGUGUGUUAGUGGAACGGUCUGGAAAGUCCGACGGUACAGGGUGAUAGUCCCGUACACGAAAAUGCACWUGCUGUGAACUCGAAGAGUAGGGCGGGACACGUGGUAUCCUGUCUGAAUAUGGGGGGACCAUCCUCCAAGGCUAAAUACUCCUGACUGACCGAUAGUGAACCAGUACCGUGAGGGAAAGGCGAAAAGAACCCCGGCGAGGGGAGUGAAAAAGAACCUGAAACCGUGUACKUACAAGCAGURGGAGCACCUUCGGGUGUGACUGCGUACCUUUUGUAUAAUGGGUCAGCGACUUAUAUUCUGUAGCAAGGUUAACCGUAUAGGGGAGCCGAAGGGAAACCGAGUCUUAACUGGGCGUUAAGUUGCAGGGUAUAGACCCGAAACCCGGUGAUCUAGCCAUGGGCAGGUUGAAGGUUGGGUAACACUAACUGGAGGACCGAACCGACUAAUGUUGAAAAAUUAGCGGAUGACCUGUGGCUGGGGGUGAAAGGCCAAUCAAACCGGGAGAUAGCUGGUUCUCCCCGAAAGCUAUUUAGGUAGCGCCUCGUGAACUCAUC
rnacentral:rRNA from 1 species